GGGCUAGGCAGGUUUCUGCAGCUCCCACUUCCCAGUGGAAAAGUGCAGGAUUCCCAAAGACUGUUGAGCAAGAGGCUCAAAUUGUCUUCAGAUUGGGUCUAAUCUAGCUAGAACCAUUCGGGAUCCAGGAUGAAGCUGGAUCCAGUUACAGACCUCCCUGAGAAGUGAAGAGAGGUCCAGAUACACCUACAUCUCCAGCUGACACGGUCUCGAGGGUUCCAGGGCCCUCCCUCAAGGCGCGGACUUCAUGAGAAAUGGACCCACAACUCAGGAGCCGAAACAGACACACCCAGCCCGGUGACGUCCCCAACCAGCCAGUGACCCGCGGCAGCCCACUCUCACUGAGAGGAAGAAGAAACUUCCCCCUGGCUUCCCAAAGACCACCACCACUGCUCACACUUUGGAAAUUCUUCUGUCAAUUCAUUUUCAGUUUUUAUUUGGUUUUCACAUUGUUGUAAUCAUACCGUGUUUACAAUUUUGUAUCCCACUGCAUUUAUCAUCCUAGUGUGUAUAUGUUUCUGCAUGUUAAAUUUAUCCUGGUUAUUGCGAAGGUUCAUAUUUUUAUAUAUAUUUACACGCAAAGGUCACUUCACUGGUUUUCCCUU